UAUGGAUGUCCUAUGGGUGCCCUAUGGGAGCCCUAUGGGUGCCCUAUGGGUGCUGUAUGGGAUAUGGGUGCCCUAUGGGUACUCUAUGGGAUAUGGAUGCCCUAUGGGUGCCCUAUGGGUGCUGUAUGGGAUAUGGGUGCCCUAUGGGUGCCCUAUGGGAUAUGGGUGUCCUAUGGGUACUCUAUGGGUGCUGUAUGGGAUAUGGGAUCCCUAUGUGUAUCACAGCCCCCAAUCCCCCCCGCAGGCGCUGAGGCCAUGGCUGAGCCGUGCCCUAUGGGGUGUGGGUGCCCUAUGGGUGCCCUAUGGGUGCCCUAUGGGUGCUGUAUGGGAUAUGGGUGCCCUAUGGGUUCCCUAAAG
ensembl:lncRNA